rnacentral:piRNA from 1 species
UACAGAGUGACGGGGCAUGGGAU